CAGUGCCAACACACACACACACACACACACACGUGCAUGUGCAUGUACUUUUUACACAUUAUACACAUUAUAAAGUGUAAUGCUGAUCCCAUUUAUUAGGUGUAUAAAUCCCAAUAGAUUUACUUUUUGUUUUCUUCAGAAAGGCUCAUUAACAUAAGUAUGUUAACAGAUAUCAGAAUAUGUUAACAGAAUUGUGUGUCUUCCAUACCAACAGUUUUUCAAUUGUCUUUGAAUACUACUCAUUUGCCAAAUUCCAGAUAAAUUCCAAAUAGAGUGCAGGGAGAAAAGAGAAUGACUGGUAUGUCCUAUAGGCCUGUGGCUUCAUAAAUGUCACAUGGGUCCCAUUUAGCCUUGUCUACAGAUUAUUGAUGCUCACACUUUUCCCUUUCCCUUGGCUUUUUACCACCAUAGAGUGUCAUCCACGGCAUGUUACUCAUCACAGCUACAGUGAGGUGUUGACCUAAGGCCCAGAAGAGCUUCUAGCUAUUCUCCAAGAUUGGAAAGUCAAGUCAGUUCCUGUGUCGAACAUGAUUAUACAACUUAUGCCUGCUAAGUUCCAACUCCCAAGUUCUUUCCAAAUGAGUGGGCAAGUUGGGAAACUCCAAACAGAUGUUGACCCUUUCAAAUGUAUCUCUCUGCCCUGAGACUUGGAAGAGAUCCAUUCAGGGCUCACAUUCUUUUCCCCAUAGUUCCAAGAUGACAUCACUUUCUACAGGAAAACUUCAGACCCAGCAUCAUCCAUCCUCAAGGAGUCCUUUACUGUCAAUUAUCAAAUAGCUCCAGAUCUAACCAUGACCGCCAUCCACAGUCCUACUGAAUAAAGUCUGAUGGAUGAA